AAGCAUAUUAUUAAGCGGAGGAAAAGAAACUAACCAGGAUUCCCUCAGUAAGGGCGACUGAAGCGGGAAUAGCCCAACUAAAAUCGGCCUUGCCGAAUUGUGGUUUAUAGACUGUUGCGUUACGGGCCGGGCCAAGUCCCUUGGAACAGGGCAGCUGAGAGGGUGAUACUCCCGUACGCCUGGCCUUGGAGCGACGGUCAACGAGUCGAGUUGUUUGGGAUUGCAGCUCAAAGUGGGUGGUAAAUUCCAUCUAAGGCUAAAUACUGGUGGGAGACCGAUAGCGUACAAGUACCGUGAGGGAAAGAUGCAAAGAACUUUGAAAAGAGAGUUAAAGAGUACCUGAACUUGCUGAAACGGAAGCGAAGGAAACCAGUGCCAGGCGAGUUAUAUUGCCUUUCCGCUUGCGGUUUGGGUGUGUGACCGCCGUUGCCAGGCUUGGUUGUGCGGGCUGCAAGCAGCAGCUUUUGCGACUGAGGUUGGCGAAAUGGUUUUCUUUUUCCCGUCUUG
rnacentral:rRNA from 1 species